GACGGAGGAUGCAAGUGUUAUCCGGAAUCACUGGGCGUAAAGCGUCUGUAGGUGGUUCGAAAAGUCCACUGUUAAAAAUUGAAGCUUAACUUCAAAGAUGCCGUGGAAACUUUCAAACUAGAGUGUGGUAGGGGUGAGGGAAUUUCCAGUGGAGCGGUGAAAUGCGUAGAUAUUGGAAAGACCACCGAUGGCGAAGGCACUCUACUGGGCCAUUACUGACACUGAGAGACGAAAAGCUAGGGGGAGCAAAAUGGG
rnacentral:rRNA from 1 species